rnacentral:rRNA from 1 species
CCUACGGGGGGCAGCAGUGAGGAAUAUUGGUCAAUGGCCGAGAGGCUGAACCAGCCAAGUCGCGCGAGGGAAGACGGCCCUACGGGUUGUAAACCUCUUUUGUCGGGGAGCAAAGAGAGUCACGUGCGACUCAUUGAGAGUACCCGAAGAAAAAGCAUCGGCUAACUCCGUGCCAGCAGCCGCGGUAAUACAGAGGAUGCGAGCGUUAUCCGGAUUUAUUGGGUUUAAAGGGUGCGCAGGCGGAGGUGCAAGUCAGCGGUCAAAUUGCGGGGCUCAACCCUGUACUGCCGUUGAAACUGCAUCCC